rnacentral:piRNA from 1 species
UGAGCCUGAGGCAGAAACUCUGUGCACU